AACGAACGCUGGCGGCAGGCUUAACACAUGCAAGUCGAGCGCCCCGCAAGGGGAGCGGCAGACGGGUGAGUAACGCGUGGGAACGUGCCCUUUGGUUCGGAACAACUCCGGGAAACUGGAGCUAAUACCGGAUAAGCCCUUACGGGGAAAGAUUUAUCGCCAAAGGAUCGGCCCGCGUCUGAUUAGCUAGUUGGUGAGGUAAUGGCUCACCAAGGCGACGAUCAGUAGCUGGUCUGAGAGGAUGAUCAGCCACACUGGGACUGAGACACGGCCCAGACUCCUACGGGAGGCAGCAGGGGGGAAUAUUGGACAAUGGGCGCAAGCCUGAUCCAGCCAUGCCGCGUGAGUGAUGAAGGCCUUAGGGUUGUAAAGCUCUUUUGUCCGGGAAGAUAAUGACUGUACCGGAAGAAUAAGCCCCGGCUAACUUCGUGCCAGCAGCCGCCGUAACAC
rnacentral:rRNA from 1 species